AUACGGAGGAUGCAAGCGUUAUCCGGAUUUAUUGGGUUUAAAGGGUGCGUAGGCGGUUUGCUAAGCGGGAGGGGAAAUGCCGGCGCUCAACGUCGGAAGUGCCUCCCGAACUGGUGGACUGGAAUGACUCUGCCGUGGGAGGAAUGUGUAGUGUAGCGGUGAAAUGCUUAGAGAUUACACAGAACACCGAUUGCGAAGGCAUCUCACGAAGGGUUGAUUGACGCUGAGGCACGAAAGCGUGGGGAUCAAACAGGAUUAGAUACCCUGGUAGUCCACGCAGUAAACGAUGAUGGCUAACCGCUGGGCUUAUCAGUUCAGUGGCCAAGCGAAAGCGAUAAGCCAUCCACCUGGGGAGUACGACCGCAAGGUUGAAACUCAAAUGAAUUGACGGGG
rnacentral:rRNA from 1 species